CUGAGAGCAGCGCCGCCCCCGCCCGGCCGUGGGGCAGGUCCCCUCAGCCUGUCCGCCCGCCCCGCGAAGCACCGGGGCCUCCGUCGUCGCCAGGGCAACCGCUUCCCCGGCGCGGGGGAGGCGACGCGUGCUUCGCCCCCGCCCCCCUCCAGUGGGCAGCCCCGCUGCGUGGGAGCGGGCGUCCGGCUCCCGGCCUGCCCGCUAAGUGAUUUGGAAACGUCUGAAGGCCCGGGUGGCGGGGGGGGGGGACCUUUGGAGCUGAUUUGGCUGCCAACGUGAAAACGUUUCCGUUAAAAAAGGCCCGGGCCGAGGGCACUGCUCAUGCACAGCAGGUGGGGAGGGGGCCUCAGCCCCGCGGCCCAGGCAGCAGGAAGGGCCCCUUCGGCGCGCCGGGGGCCCACGCCCACGAGACACGGCUGGACGCCCUCCUGAACACGGCGGCCACUGAGUGUAGUCGGGGGGGGCAGGGGCCACCUACGGGCGCCAGCGGGGACAAAAGCAAAGGACGGAGGCUCGGAGCACGGCGCCCGCAGGCCCGGCCUGGCCAAGCUGCCUGGAGACGCGAGCGCGGCCGGGAACGGAGGCUCUUAAUUUGCAGGGAGCUCGUGGGAGCAGUGCCCAGCCAGACCCUAGAAGAAAUCAUCAGCGGUGCGAGGAGCCUGGAAUGUGCUAUAGUGUUGCAUCGGUGACCUGCAGAGCAGACACUCCAGCGUGGCCACGGAAAUCCUGUUCUUUGGAAAACUCAAGGCAGCAUCAGGAGCGUGGCACCGAGCUGGAGGCAGAAGCUGCCCCAGCAGAGGGGGGCCCAG
rnacentral:lncRNA from 1 species